UGGCUCAGGACGAACGCUGGCGGCGUGCCUAAUACAUGCAAGUCGAGCGAGCGGAACUAACAGAUUUACUUCGGUAAUGACGUUAGGAAAGCGAGCGGCGGAUGGGUGAGUAACACGUGGGGAACCUGCCCCAUAGAGUGGGAUACCACUUGGAAACAGGUGCUAAUACCGGAUAAGAAAGCAGAUCGCAUGAUCAGCUUUUAAAAGGCGGCGUAAGCUGUCGCUAUGGGAUGGCCCCGCGGUGCAUUAGCUAGUUGGUAAGGUAAAGGCUUACCAAGGCGAUGAUGCAUAGCCGAGUUGAGAGACUGAUCGGCCACAUUGGGACUGAGACACGGCCCAAACUCCUACGGGAGGCAGCAGUAGGGAAUCUUCCACAAUGGACGCAAGUCUGAUGGAGCAACGCCGCGUGAGUGAAAGAAGGUUUUCGGAUCGUAAAGCUCUGUUGUUGGUGAAGAAGGAUAGAGGUAGUAACUGGCCUUUAUUUGACGGUAAUCAACCAGAAAGUCACGGCUAACUACGUGCCAGCAGCCGCGGUAAUACGUAGGUGGCAAGCGUUGUCCGGAUUUAUUGGGCGUAAAGCGAGCGCAGGCGGAAGAAUAAGUCUGAUGUGAAAGCCCUCGGCUUAACCGAGGAACUGCAUCGGAAACUGUUUUUCUUGAGUGCAGAAGAGGAGAGUGGAACUCCAUGUGUAGCGGUGGAAUGCGUAGAUAUAUGGAAGAACACCAGCUGCGAAGGCGGCUCUCUGGUCUGCAACUGACGCUGAGGCUCGAAAGCAUGGGUAGCGAACAGGAUUAGAUACCCUGGUAGUCCAUGCCGUAAACGAUGAGUGCUAAGUGUUGGGAGGUUUCCGCCUCUCAGUG
rnacentral:rRNA from 1 species